CAGCACCCCAAGUGGUCAGGAUGAUUAUUGGGCCUAAAGCAUCCGUAGCCGGCUCUGUAAGUUUUCGGUUAAAUCUGUACGCUCAACGUACAGGCUGCCGGGAAUACUGCAGAGCUAGGGAGUGGGAGAGGUAGACGGUACUCGGUAGGAAGGGGUAAAAUCCUUUGAUCUAUUGAUGACCACCUGUGGCGAAGGCGGUCUACCAGAACACGUCCGACGGUGAGGGAUGAAAGCUGGGGGAGCAAACCGGAUUAGAGACCCGAGUAGUCC
rnacentral:rRNA from 1 species